AACACCUACUGCAUCUGUUCAAUAGAAUAAGAGACACAGGCUGAUGACUCGGGCUCUCCCUCAAGUUCCAGCAGUAGGACAUGACAAGAUCUGUCAGCAUUGUGGCAAGGAUUAUGGGGAACGAUUCUGCUUUCACCUCAACAACACCUGCUGCAUAUGUGGUAUUACCCAACAGUAUACGAAGGAGUGCCCAAGGAACCAAAAACAGGUCAGACCUCCUGUUCAGGACAGAGCUUAAAAUCUCACAUAGCAAGAUGCAGAAGCCAACCUGAACAUGGUAAAUGGUAUGUACACUAUUUGUAAGCAUCUUGCUCAUGUUUUGAUUGAUACUGGUGC
rnacentral:lncRNA from 1 species